GAUGAACGCUGGCGGCGUGCCUAAUACAUGCGAGUCGAGCGAACAGACGAGGAGCUUGCUCCUCUGACGUUAGCGGCGGACGGGUGAGUAACACGUGGAUAACCUACCUAUAAGACUGGGAUAACUUCGGGAAACCGGAGCUAAUACCGGAUAAUAUAUUGAACCGCAUGGUUCAAUAGUGUAAGACGGUUUUGCUGUCACUUAUAGAUGGAUCCGCGCCGCAUUAGCUAGUUGGUAAGGUAACGGCUUACCAAGGCAACGAUGCGUAGCCGACCUGAGAGGGUGAUCGGCCACACUGGAACUGAGACACGGUCCAGACUCCUACGGGAGGCAGCAGUAGGGAAUCUUCCGCAAUGGGCGAAAGCUUGACGGAGCAACGCCGCGUGAGUGAUGAAGGUCUUCGGAUCGUAAAACUCUGUUAUUAGGGAAGAACAAAUGUGUAAGUAACUAUGCACGUCUUGACGGUACCUAAUCAGAAAGCCACGGCUAACUACGUG
rnacentral:rRNA from 1 species